UCGAAAAUAGUAAAAUUAUUAUUUUUUAUAGGUAUGUCAAAAAUUGAAGCAAACUAAAUGCUAAUUUGUUGCGCUCCUCCUGAAAUUUAUUAUUUCAAGUCUAAAAAGCGGUUAACUCAGGCCAAUGGAGACAUUUUGAAAGAAUAACUUAUUUUUUCUUUUGCUAGUAAUUAAAAGUUCCGGAUAUUAUUUUUCUAGGAGGAAAUCCUCUUUAUGAAGCUUCAUUUUCAUUUUUGAAUGUAUUUUCUAAUUACAAAGUAGUGAAUGUGACGAUUUUUCCGAAAUACAGUUCGAAACUGGCAUAUGACGACAUUGCAAUAUUCGAAAUAAACGAACCUACAUGGUAUCCACCUGUAUGCUUAUGGAGAUGCAAACAAUUUAAAGGCAAAGGUGCCACAGCCAUUGGAUAUGGUCUAACAGAAUUUGCUGGAGUUGGCUCCGAGCAGCUUUUAAAAGUCAACUUGACAAUAUUUUCAUCUGAAUACUGUGGCCCGUUUUUCAAGCGACAAAGAAAAUUCAAGUUAGGACUUUCAGAUGCUCAUAUUUGUGCUGGUGAUAAAGAUGGGAAAAAAGACACAUGUCAGGGUGACUCUGGUGGUCCACUUCUUAUUAAACAAAAGAAUCAAAUAUUUGCAAUCGGACUAACAUCUUCCGGGCAAGCUUGUUCUGGACUCCCACCGGCGAUUUAUACAAAAAUUCAACCGUACAUAGAAUGGAUAUCGAACGUGCUCGAGGAACGAGGAGAGUCCUUGCUAGACUGUGGGUGUGAUACAAAGCAUGAAGUCACAGAAUGUUAAACAUAAAAUUAAAGAUUAAAUUGAUUUUUUUAUUAAUUAGGAGCAACAA